AACAUCGCGCACCUGCGGGAACCUGCGGAGGGAUCAUUAACAAGCUGUGGGAGAUCAAUUUGAUCUCACACCUGGCCAACCUUGUUAACCUUAAAUAUAUUGCUUUGGUGAGCCCUGCUCACCAAAGUCAAACCCUAAACUCUUGAUUUUUUCUGCUGUCUGAGCAUGCAAGUGCAAAAUUUAGUUAAAAAACUUUCAACAAUGGAUCU
rnacentral:misc_RNA from 1 species